UAGAGCACUUUAAGUACAUUAUAGAAGUGUACUUUUUUUCACCUGGGUAUGCUUCUUUACAGAGCAUGGCCACAUAGAAUUUCAAACUGCCUUUAUAUGCUUUUUAAAAACCUAUAAAUUGAUAUAUCCUACUGUACAUAUUCUACACACACACACACACACACACACACACACAGAAAAUACACACCUUAGAACGUUCGUCACCAAAUCAGUUUCGAGCAUUCAACAGCCCCCAUAUACUGUAUAUGCACCUUUAUUUUUAUUUUUUAUUUUUUUUUAAAUACCAUAGCUUUCCGUCUGUCCAUCGAUGGUGAUAUCGAAAGUCUUUAUGAGUGAGUCAUUGAAUCAUUCAUUUAAACGAUUCGUUCAAAAAUACUGAUUCAUUCAGGAACGAGAGUGAACAGCAAUCUUGCAUACUACUUUUACUUUUUCUGUGAUAUGAAGAUGGCACAAAUAAACUGCUAAAAUGCAGUUCCGUCUUUAUAAGUGAGUCAAUGCAUCAACCGAUUCGUUUAAACACGCUGCUUCAUUUAGAUUCAAAAGUUGCUCGGAGAUACUCAGCGGUUAAUUCUGACAUUACUUCGUUUCGAACCAUUUUUUUCGUGGAGCAGAAUUAGACGAAUUAAUUGGGCAAUAUUGUGUCUACAAUUUGAGAGAGACAUUAUGAUUGGGAUGCCCCAGAUUGGGAUGGUCUGUCAGCUGCAAGCCUGGAACAAGAUUAAAGAAAGGCAUACAGGUUUGGAAUGGCAUGAAGAGCCAGUAUUUCAAGCACUAAGCCAAAAAUAGCUCUGGCCUACACACUUCUGCUGAGAAUACAACACAAGUAGCGAAGACAAGAAUGGUUGAAGGAGCAGCUCAACCACUUUACAAGCACAGACAUGAAGAACAUCAUCUUUGUUUUCUUUAAACAUUGCCAAGGGGUUAAGGAGGGCAACGUUCAGUGGUCAAAAGUGCUGAAUGCAUAAUAAAAGUGAAAACUCAGACUGGCCACUAGAUAUUUGAGGCUUCCAGUAAGGAAUGCAAUAACAUUCUCUUUAUCAGACUCUCAAAAGGCUUAAUACUAAGGGCAAAGGAGGGGCACUGCAGCCUCAAUAGUGGUUUUGGCAGCCUAACAGAGAGAGAAAACAUAAGAAAACACACAAACAGCAAUUAUAAAACCAAGCUAUUAUAAAGCCAUUACUAGAGUAUCCAUCUCUAAUCACUGUCACUGCUUUGCCGCAACAGUACUGGAAAAUGGUUUACUCUAUGCAAAAACUGUAGGCAACAUUAUUUUUAUAGACCAGAGGUGCCCAAAUUUUUACCAAAAAUCAAACCUGAUUGAGGCCUGUGGGCCAAAAAUAAAUGUUGCAUAUGUCCAACUAUAUGUUUAAUAAAUGUAUUUUUAAUUAGAUUCUCUUAUAUUCUCUUCAUUUCAAUGCAAAAUAAUAUGCACUGAAAUGUGAAAUGGCAUAGUGGGCCAAAUCAUGAGAUGCCCAAACCUGGUGGGUCCUGGUUUGGCUACAUCUGCUAUAGACAGAUUCAUUUAUGAGCUUAGCAAACAACUACUACAAUGCAUUCAAAAUGAAGCCACUUUGUAAUUAAAUUUGAAGUUAUGCUGACUUAUUAGUAAAAUACAAUGAAUACUCUUCAGGUUUUUUGAUGCGAUAAAUCUUGUUUGACAAAAAAAACCCUAGUGAAAUGUGAAUUGGUCACUCUUUCCAAAGAGGAAAAUCUUGAUUUCUCCCAGAUAUUCCACACAGUGGUUUUGUCAGGAUUUAAUUGUUUAGCAAACACUGAUACUGUUGCCGGGCAGACACUUUCCCUCUUGUACAGCUUGACUGAGUUCACUAGCUGAAUGAAUGUGGACCAAAUUCAAGAAUGCCUCAUGUCAACAAAUGUUCAUUCAAACAUUUGUGGUCAUAAAUGAGACCGUAAGGUCAAGGAAAUUAUCUAGUGGUCACUUUUUCCAAACCUACAAGCACAACUUUCCAGUGAAAUGGACUAUUUGAAUAUGUUAAUUCAAUCGUUCUGUUUAGCCAAGCUCUUUACCUCAGUCCCCUAUAAUCUUGUAACCUAUCUUUCACAAUACUGUUAGCUUUGGCAAGCUAUGAUUCCUUUGAUUUACCAGCAGCUGCAACUAAAUAAAGCUCCCACUCAGACUUUUUCUGAAAAUCAGUACAUUAAUAAUUAAUUACAGGCUUAAAUAAAAUCAUCACAUAACAGACAAAGAGUCCAGCGUAUAGACAUUGAAAAUAGACAUGUUUUGUUGUAUUUCCCACAGUGUUGCAACCAAAUCGGUCCCCUUUGAGAUUAAACCCCCAUCCAUUCCCAUCUCAGCACCUUCCGUUAUAAUGGACGUUGAAGUCUCCAUUCUCCUGCAGCUGGAUCACUAAUUAAAACGUCUGCCAGAGAGCCAUGAGUCACAUAGACAUCGUUAGACGCCUGUCAGUGUGUAAACUUGGGAGGUGUUCAACAUUAAUCGCCUAACAGACAGACACUGGGACAUUGAUAAGGUUGGUCAGCACUUUUGAACUGUGAUGACAGUCUGUUCUAAAUCCAGUGGAUGAUGGUCCUCAAAUUGAGCAAUUCGGUUAGGACAGAGAAUAUGAUUCUCUCAUUUUGCCAUCCUUGCCUUGCUAUAUAUUUUUCUGUACAUUUUCAAAACAUUUCUAUAGUAGCUUAUGUAAAUAAUAAUUUUAAAAACAACUACAACAGCAAUAAUAAUAGGCCUACUAAUAAAAAAACAAGUACUUUUAAUAUUUUUUUUUUAUUAAUAAUUGUGUACAAUGCCCUAAACACUUGGGAGUUUUAUGUCAAAUAAAUAUUUAGUAAUUGGGAGUUUUAUGUCAAAUAAAUAUUUAGUAAUUGUGUCAAUAUCACAUGAAUUCUGAUGAAAAGCAUUAUACUUAUAUGCUUACAAUGUAGCAUGGCAAAAAUAUGUUUUUUGGAGGAUGCUCUGUGUCAAAAUACACCGCUUGUUCUAGCCUCAAGCAAAGAGGAAAUCUCGACAGCACUAGACAACUACAUUAAGCUACAAUUCAACAGUAUGCUGCAGUCUCGAGGUAAUAAAGACAGCGUAGAAGCCCAAAAAUUCCAGUUAGGGUUUUAUCACUAUUCGAGAGCGCCGUUCAUUGCUAUUGUCGUUUAGAU